rnacentral:lncRNA from 1 species
AUACACAAUAUGGAGAAAAAAAGUAAUAUACACUAUGAUCAGAAAGCUUCAUUAAUUUUCCGAUCUGAUAUUUAUAUCCUCAACCGGAUCCUCUCUUACAUUAACCGGGAAAAUCUUUUUAGUAUAUCUCCAAUUGCAUAACGACAAAACCAUUCCUGCAAAUACACAGACCAUGCAUCAUAUAUAAUCAUUAUGCUCAUAUCUCGUUGACGGAUUUUUUGUUGGACGGAGAGUAAUUUGUUUUGAAGACAUGUAUGCUAUAAGUUUAUAACAUAAUUAUCAUCAUCAACUAUAUAUGCAAAUAUGUAUAGAAAUAGAGAACUAAUUAAGAACACAUACCAAAAACUUGAACAACAACUAGGAAUCCAAUGUUGCUUGAAGCCAUAUUGCUGCCUUGUUGCUUCUGUUAAUUAGGAUGAGUUUUGGUCAUUUUG